GGAGGAAAAGAAACUAACAAGGAUUCCCCUAGUAGCGGCGAGCGAAGCGGGAAGAGCUCAAAUUUGUAAUCUGGCGUCCUCCGGGCGUCCGAGUUGUAAUCUAUAGAGACGUUUUCCGUGCCGGACCGUGUCCAAGUCCCUUGGAACAGGGUAUCAAAGAGGGUGACAAUCCCGUACUUGACACGACGACCGGUGCUCUGUGAUACGUUUUCUACGAGUCGAGUUGUUUGGGAAUGCAGCUCAAAAUGGGUGGUAAAUUCCAUCUAAAGCUAAAUAUAGGCGAGAGACCGAUAGCGAACAAGUACCGUGAGGGAAAGAUGAAAAGCACUUUGGAAAGAGAGUUAAACAGUAUGUGAAAUUGUUGAAAGGGAAACGAUUGAAGUCAGUCAUGUCCAUUGGAUUCAGCUGGUUCUGCCAGUGUAUUUCCUUUGGACGGGUCAACAUCAGUUUGAGCCGGCGGAUAAUGGCAGAGGGAAUGUGGCACCCCCGGGUGUGUUAUAGCCCUUUGUCGCAUACGUCGGCCCAGACUGAGGAAUGCAGCUCGCCUUUAUGGCCGGGGUUCGCCCACGUACGAGCUUAGGAUGUUGGCAUAAUGGCUUUAAACGACCCGUCUUGA
rnacentral:rRNA from 1 species